UCUUGCGCAAUGGACGAAAGUCUGACGCAGCCACGCCGCGUGAGUGAAGAAGGCCUUCGGGUUGUAAAGCUCUGUCACCUGGGACGAAAAGCAGUCGAGUUAAUAGCUCGAUUGCCUGACGGUACCAGGGGAGGAAGCACCGGCUAACUCUGUGCCAGCAGCCGCGGUAAUACAGAGGGUGCAAGCGUUGCUCGGAAUUAUUGGGCGUAAAGUGCAGGUAGGUGGUCUUAUUUGUCUAGGGUGAAAUCCCGGAGCUUAACUUCGGAAGUGCCUUAGAAACGGUAAGACUAGAGUCCUAGAGAGGUUUGUGGAAUUCCCGGUGUAGCGGUGAAAUGCGUAGAGAUCGGGAGGAACACCAGCAGCGAAGGCGGCAAACUGGAUAGGCACUGACACUCAACUGCGAAAGCGUGGGGAGCAAACAG
rnacentral:rRNA from 1 species